rnacentral:rRNA from 1 species
AUUGAACGCUGGCGGCAGGCCUAACACAUGCAAGUCGAACGGUAACAGAAAGCAGCUUGCUGCUUUGCUGACGAGUGGCGGACGGGUGAGUAAUGUCUGGGAAACUGCCUGAUGGAGGGGGAUAACUACUGGAAACGGUAGCUAAUACCGCAUAACGUCGCAAGACCAAAGAGGGGGACCUUCGGGCCUCUUGCCAUCGGAUGUGCCCAGAUGGGAUUAGCUAGUAGGUGGGGUAACGGCUCACCUAGGCGACGAUCCCUAGCUGGUCUGAGAGGAUGACCAGCCACACUGGAACUGAGACACGGUCUAGACUCCUACGGGAGGCAGCAGUGGGGAAUAUUGCACAAUGGGCGCAAGCCUGAUGCAGCCAUGCCGCGUGUAUGAAGAAGGCCUUCGGGUUGUAAAGUACUUUCAGCGGGGAGGAAGGGAGUAAAGUUAAUACCUUUGCUCAUUGACGUUACCCGCAGAAGAAGCACCGGCUAACUCCGUG